rnacentral:ncRNA from 1 species
UUGAGCUGCCUGCGGUGAAAGCCGCACGGGCAGUUCUCAGGGGACCGGCGGGGAACCCGCCGGUCCUACCCGAC